GGACUAAAACCGUGUGUGAAACCUGAACGGCCCCAAAAUCAUCUGUUCCCUUCUCAUCUCUCCCAGAAGUGUCCGUGACAGUCGCUGUCAUGGAAGUCACCUCCCCAACACCACAAGGGAGAGCCGUCCUUCCUGCAGGGCGGCCACGUGGCCACCUAGGCUGGUCCCGGGAGACCUUGGACCCAGGCUGGUGCCUGCCCCAGCUCCUGUCCCGAGACGUGGCUGAAGGAUGUCAGCAUUCAGAACUGUGUCCCGGGAUCGUGGCCCAGACCCACAGGUCAGGGGCGUGCACUUUUGAGGGUUCUGAAGACGACUCAACAGGGUGCCUGACCUGCUGGUAAGGACUCAGGAGACCUCGCCUGUCCUCGUCACACUCAUGGAAGGGGACUCCGGAUCCCUGGCGUAGCUGGUCUGGGAACUGGGGAGGGAUGGGCAGUGCCCGGUGUAGGGUGCAACCUCCAGUGCCCACAUUAGCACGU
rnacentral:antisense_RNA from 1 species